UGGAGGGCAAGUCUGGUGCCAGCAGCCGCGGUAAUUCCAGCUCCAAUAGCGUAUAUUAAAGUUGUUGCAGUUAAAAAGCUCGUAGUUGAAUUUCAGGCCUGGCUGGACGGUCCGCCCUUCGGGUGAGUACUGUCUGUGGUCGGGUCCUACCUUCUGGCGAAGCGUCAUGGCCUUAACCGGCCGUGGCGGGGAACCAGGACUUUUACUGUGAAAAAAUUAGAGUGUUCAAAGCAGGCAAUCGCUUGGAUACAUUAGCAUGGAAUAAUGGAAUAGGACAAUGGUUCUAUUUGUUGGUUUCUAGGACCGUUGUAAUGAUUAAUAGGGAUAGUUGGGGGCAUUAGUAUUCAAUUGUCAGAGGUGAAAUUCUUGGAUUUAUUGAAGACUAACUACUGCGAAAGCAUUUGCCAAGGAUGUUUUCAUUAAUCAAGAACGAAAGUUAGGGGAUCGAAGACGAUCAGAUACCGUCGUAGUCUUAACCAUAAACUAUGCCGACUAGGAAUCGGGCGAUGUUGACAAAAUGACGCGCUCGGCACCUCAUGGGAAAC
rnacentral:rRNA from 1 species